CCAUAAUUUCUUUAUUCAUUAUUCUAUAUAAAAUUUUUAAAAUUAAUUUUUGUUUUGUUUUUUUUUAUUUUUAGAGAAAUCCGGUAGAGAGAAAAAUUACGAGGAGAAGGAAUAAAAAGACCGAGCUGCUGAAGAGGAAUCUUGAUACGGGGCUGGACAGAUCACUUGGGAGGAGACUGGAGAUCAGUGCUGAACUUAUAGAGCUCCAAAUAAUCAGCGAUCAGUUGGACAUGGACAUCAGGGGUACCACUAGAGUGAUUGAAAGAAUGUUGGAAAGGGAGACUGGUGCUGCGAGGGCCCUGCCGGAUAUUCCAUGCCCUCUGGAUGACCCCAUGGUCCAUGAUUCCGAUGGUGAGGGACCAUAGGAUGGAGCAGGG